GACAGAGGGGGCAAACGUUGCUCGGAAUUACUGGGCGUAAAGGGCGCGUAGGCGGGAUGGCAAGUCGGUCGUGAAAUCCCUCGGCUCAACCGAGGAACGUCGAUCGAUACUGCUGUUCUUGAGGAUUGCAGAGGAGACUGGAAUUCCCGGUGUAGCGGUGAAAUGUGUAGAGAUCGGGAGGAACACCGGUGGCGAAGGCGGGUCUCUGGGCAAUUCCUGACGCUGAGGCGCGAAAGCGUGGGGAGCAAACGGG
rnacentral:rRNA from 1 species